AUGUUCGCGUUGAUGAGGAGAAGUAGGUAAUCGAAGCCUUACAGAGAGAACCGUCCCCGGCUGCAAACGGUUUAGGCCUCUCGAUUAUUGAAAUGCCCCUCUGAGCCUGCCGUUGAAAGGUUGCCGAGUAAGCGGCAGCGGGUCCGCCCCGUUAUCAGGUUAAGCUGGAAAGACAGCCUUGUGCUGUUUUUCAAUCAGAGUGGAACCGCGUAUAUCAUACGUCUCUGUU
rnacentral:ncRNA from 1 species